rnacentral:lncRNA from 12 species
GCCAAAUCCUCAGCAUCUCUGACUGUUAGCAAUCAGAAUGCUUUUUAUAUGGUGUCUUUCUUUGGAAACGCACAAACCAUCUUGCCACAGACAUUACCUCAUUUGCUUCCCAGCCUAACGAGUGCUUUAUGGCUGAGAGCUGGUGGAGGAAGCAAGUGAGGUGGGAGAGAUGAAGAAACUGAGGCACGGGGGAGAGACCGGUUGCAGCAUUUCCAGCAAGUUCCUGUGAGCAGUGCUUAGGUUUUCUCAUUCCUAACCUCCUGCCCUUUCAUUGGGUUUUGGGCAUUAGCUAAUGAAUUUAAAUGAAACAAUUGCUGUCUCUUCCAAGAGCCGCACAGAGGAACCUGGGAUUUCCAAUCAUUGAACUCAAGAACCACAUGUUCAUUACCUUGAUAACACUGAUCAUUGGUCUGAUGGGUGAGUUAAAGCUACAUCUUUGUUUUUCCUUAUCUGCUACAUCCCAUUGCUGAUUUCUGGGUGAGGUUCAGUCAUGUUCUACAUGUGAGAAGGUUAGCACCUCUGUUUUUGUUGUGUUGCUUAGCAUAAUUUUUUGAUAUGUUAGUGUAGUGUUUUGUCUGGUAAGAUGAUGCAUAAGGAUUAUGAUUAGUUUUUCGUUCUUUAGGAAAAUUGUUUCUUUUAUUUAAAGUAAUCUUUGGUUUAUAAAUGUUGAUAUUUUGCAAAAAGGUUUUCUGAUAAUAAUAUAUGUUCACUAAAGAAAAUCUAGAAACUACAAAGGAAUAUGAAACAUGAAAAAUGCAUAUUUCCUUACCCUAGUGAGAAUAAUUAUUAAAAUUGUUUUCUAUUUCUUGCUAGGUUUUCUCAAUGCAUGAGUAUGUCUAUAUGUGCGUAUAACUACAGAAUUCAAGUUCUCUGUAUACAUCAUUUAAACCUACUCAUUUGCUUCAUAUAACAUGCAAUAUUUCUUGUAAUUAAAUAUUCUUCUAAAACAUGAUUUUUUAAUGGUGCAGAGUCUAAACAUAUGGCUGUUGCCAAAUUUAUUUAAUUAUUUUCUCUAUUUUGAGUAUUUAGGUUGUUUACAAUUUUAUAUUGUAAACAAUACUGUAAUAUGAAUCUUUGAUUUUUAAA